rnacentral:rRNA from 1 species
UACGUAGGGUGCAAGCGUUAAUCGGAAUUACUGGGCGUAAAGCGUGCGCAGGCGGUGAUGUAAGACAGGUGUGAAAAUCCCCCGGGCUUAACCUGGGAACUGCAUUUUGUGACUGCAUCGCUGGAGUGCGGCAGAGGGGGGGAUGGAAUUCCGCGUGUAGCAGUGAAAAUGCGUAGAUAUGCGGAGGAACACCGAUGGCGAAGGCAAUCCCCCUGGGCCUGCACUGACUGAGGAGCGAAAGCUGGGG